rnacentral:rRNA from 1 species
UACGUAGGGUGCGAGCGUUGCUCGGAAUUACUGGGCGUAAAGGGUUCGUAGGCGGUGUGGCAAGUCGGUAGUGAAAUCUCCAGGCUUAACUUGGAGGCUGCUGCCGAAACUGCCGUGCUAGAGUACGGGAGAGGCGAGUGGAAUUACGAGGUGUAGCGGUGAAAUGCGUAGAUAUCUGUAGGAACACCCGUGGCGAAGGCGGCUCGCUGGACCGUUACUGACGCUGGAGGAACGAAAGCUAGGGGAGCAAACAGG